CGAAGGUGGUUUUCCCAGGGCGAGGCUUAUCCAUUGCACUCCGGAUGUGCUGACCCCUGCGAUUUCCCCAAAUGUGGGAAACUCGACUGCAUAAUUUGUGGUAGUGGGGGACUGCGUUCGCGCUCUCCCCUGGCUUUUUGUAGUAGAACGACAGACUGUGAUCGUUUCCGGUAAGCCUGCUAUUUACGCAUUCUUUACUGGAUGCAGGGUUUUAAGCGUUCUACGGCGUCGUUCGUGUUCUUCCUAGAUCAGUGAGAUUGCUGGCAGGAUUGGCUUUUCUUCUGGGAGACAGAGAGGUCUUGGUCCUUCGUGCUUACGCCGUGUACACGGUCUUUUAACAGAAGAGGAGGAGGGGGGCGCGUUCCCGUUUCUCUCUGCCCCGACACAGAAAAGUGCGUGUGAUGGGAGGACUCCAACAGAGUUUCGCUCCCUGGUUUUAAGGUCUUGAAAUGCUCCUAUCCCCCCCACCGCAGUUUCCCUUUUAAAUCAACCACCCUCGUCCCCCCCUCUCCUGUUUUACUGACUGUUUUCCUCCAUAGGGCCCCGCUUGAGAAAGACCAGAUUGGGCUCAAGUUCCAUAGUUUUACUGCGAAACACGAAGAAUAUCGUGUAAGCUCUGACAAACCAGGCAAGAGAUGGUCCGUCAAUGGCAAUGAAGGCCACAACUCAACAGCAGGGAACGCAGGGCUGCCUCCUCUUCUCAGAGACCGGCAGCGAGCUAGGGAAUCAGCGCUUCAGUUGACCCGGAGGUGCAAAGCAGAUCUUGCCGAAGUCCGCCCUGGAGCGGGUAACAUACGCUCUUUACUCGGUUUGUACGUUUUGUCAGUGAGAAGGCCCUUGGAGAGUGUGGUCGUUAAUGAUGAGGAUCAUGGCUGCCCCUGCCCCAGGGAGAGAAGCCCAAGGUGUCCUGCCCUGCAUACUGUUCUAGGUCAUCCUCCGGGAAGCAUAGGACGUCCUGACUUAAUCCGGUCUGAUGCCUAUCUAAAGUUGUAGGACCACCCAAUAACCAGACCCCACUUGCACUGAUACCAUUUUAAUGAUUUUUUCAUCAUCUUUCCUUUGUCUUGUAAAGAAAGCACUCACGUACCUAUGCCUCAUAAAUUUAGCUCUAACCCUCAACACACUGCAGCUCUUACUGCCCAUGGGUCCUGUCCCCGUGCCUGCGGCUCUUACUGCGGUGGGUCCUGUCCCCAUGCUACUCCAUGCCAUUCUCUGAAUAAGAGAGCACUACUACCAGACCUGGAGAGUCCAAGAAAUCUUUUUCGACUCCUCGACUCACCGAACCCGCAUCAGUCAACACAUUUAUAUCUGUUUAUUAAG
rnacentral:lncRNA from 1 species